GAUUUCUGGUUUGACGCCGCUGACCCGCUUCUUAGGAAGUGCGUGUUGGUUGUGUGUCUGCCAUCCUUCCAGAAAACCUUUCUACCCUUCACUGGGCUGGAUUGGCAAUCUGGAACAUUUACUUUGAAAAAAUUAGAGUGUUCAAAGCAGGCUUGCGCUGUGAAUACAUUAGCAUGGAAUAAUAAUUUAGGGCUUCGGUUCUAUUUUGUUGGUUUCUAGGAUUGAAGCAAUGAUUGAUAGGGAUAGUUGGGGGUGCUAGUAUUAAGAGGCCAGAGGUGAAAUUCUUGGAUUCUCUUAAGACUAACUUAUGCGAAAGCAUU
rnacentral:rRNA from 1 species